AGACAAACCAGGAAGAGAGAGAAGGGGCUGGAAGGAUCUGCGAACCAUAGAGAAAGAGACAAUAUAUUUCGACUGGAUUUACCGUGUAUGAGCUGGACUGUUUGGACUUACCUGUUGGCGUUUGGACCUGGACCUACCGAGAACCCGAUUCGUGUACCGAACCUUGCUAUCCUUGACCUCGCCUGCGGCCUGCGUGGACCAGGACGGAGAAACAAACACGCAGCGGCCUGAAGUACGGCGUCAGGUGUUGCCAGCCAUAGCUUUUCACAAC
rnacentral:lncRNA from 1 species